rnacentral:rRNA from 1 species
CAGUCGCCGCGGUAAUACGAGGGGGGCAAGCGUUGUUCGGAAUUAUUAGGCGUAAAGGGUGCGUAGGCGGUUCAGCAAGUCUCGUGUGAAAUCUUCGGGCUCAACCCGAAGUCUGCACGGGAAACUACUGGGCUUGAGUAAUGGAGAGGUGAGUGGAAUUUCCGGUGUAGAGGUGAAAUUCGUAGAGAUGUGGAGGAAUACCGAUGGCGGAGGCAGCCCCCUGGGCCAAUACUGACGCUCAUGCACGAAAGCGUGGGGAGCAAACAGGAUUAGAUACCCCGGUAGUCCCUGUCUCUUAUAC